GGGUCGCUGUCAGAACCAGGUGAAGCGGCACCGCGUCGGACCAGAGAGGCUCAUGGGAAACGUGCGACUGUUCCAGCGAGGGCUGGCAGGUCACUGUCAGGUCCACUUCCUCCCCCUAGUGGUGGGGGUGAGAGACGACAGCCGUACGCAGCGACUGAGAUGUGUAGAGCGCUCAGACUUUGCCAGGUGUCCUCAGACCUUGGCCAUGACGUCCCCCAGUGUCCCCGUGUCGUCCUGUGAGCUCCACAAAAACACACGUCGCUGCACGCAACCGUCAAUCAACACACACCUCAGCUGCCGUCUGUACCAGACAUGUGACCAUGCCGUGCUGAUCACAGGUACACACACACACACACACACACACACACACACACACACACACACACACACACACACACACACACAGAGACAAAGGAAAGAUUUGUUCCUCUCACUGAGGUUCUGUUGGUUCUGCAGGUGGCUGGCAGCAGCAGAUGACUUUCCAGCGCCAGGCUUUGAACCUGCAGAGGUUCUACACCAUGCUGAGGAACAACGGCUUCCUCAGAGAGAACAUCCACACCUUCUUAGCAAGCAGCGCUCACCUUCCAGAGAACGUCGACGGAGUGUUUCCAGCCACAGAGAAAAGCAGCAUCAGGAACCACGUGUCCUACGUGUGCAAGAAGCAGCUCUGUGCAGACUCCCUGGUCCUUUACCUCAACUCCCCCACACACACCGAUGGAAGCAUGCUGCUGUGGGACAGCAACCAGGACGGCAUGGUAAGACACACA
rnacentral:lncRNA from 1 species